rnacentral:rRNA from 1 species
CAACUUUCAGCAGUGGAUGUCUAGGCUCGCGCAUCGAUGAAGAACGCAGCGAACUGCGAUACGUAAUGCGAAUUGCAGGAUUCAGUGAGUCAUCGAAAUUUUGAACGCAUAUUGCACAACCGGGGACCAUCCCGGGAGUAUGCCUGUAUCAGUGUCCGUA